UACGGAGGGUGCAAGCGUUAUCCGGAUCCACUGGGUUUAAAGGGUGCGUAGGCGGGUAGGUAAGUCAGUGGUGAAAUCUUCGAGCUUAACUCGGAAACUGCCUUUGAUACUAUCUAUCUUGAAUAUUGUGGAGGUAAGCGGAAUAUGUCAUGUAGCGGUGAAAUGCUUAGAUAUGACAUAGAACACCUAUUGCGAAGGCAGCUUACUACGCAUAUAUUGACGCUGAGGCACGAAAGCGUGGGGAUCAAACAGG
rnacentral:rRNA from 1 species